GAUGAACGCUGGCGGCGUGCUUAAUACAUGCAAGUCGAACGAAGAGCCUUUGUAGCAAUACGAGGGUUUCUUAGUGGCGAACGGGUGCGUAACGCGUUGGUGACCUGCCCAGAAGUGUGGGAUAACAGUUCGAAAGGACUGCUAAUACCGCAUGUGGUCAUCGAGUUUAGAAAUCGAUGAUUAAAGCAGUAAUGCGCUUCUGGAGGGACCUGCGUCCCAUCAGCUAGUUGGUGAGGUAACGGCCCACCAAGGCUACGACGGGUAGGGGACCUGAGAGGGUGGUCCCCCACACUGGCACUGAAACACGGGCCAGACACCUACGGGUGGCAG
rnacentral:rRNA from 1 species